rnacentral:lncRNA from 1 species
GAAAGGAAGAAAGAGAAAAACAAAACGCUAUAGAGAUCAAGGCAAAGGUAUUGCUUAGGGUUUUGAUCUUGGUGAUCAAGACACCAAAGAGGGUGUGAUCACUUUUUUGAUAGAUAGCCAUACUAUAAAAGAGGGGAGUUCUUUGGUUGGUUACCAAGUUCCACUAGGUGUCAUUGUUCAUGUAUAUGCAUUUAGAACCUAGUGAGAUAACUUAAAUCCUUCGAAGAAAAUGAUUGUGAAAAUGCUAACAUACUUGCACAUAUUGGUACACACAUUGUUGUGUUGGCACACUUUAAGAAGGAGGUAGAGUUUGAAGGGUAGAGAGGGGACUUUUGAGAAAAUGAAAUGCAUAUUUUUUAUUGCACCGGUGAAAAAUUUGAAAAGUUGCAGAAGUGUUUUUCACUGAGAAAACACUCACUGGACGCUGGCCACGCAUUGGACGCUAGCCCAGUAUCUGGUGCAUAGUGGCUGAGCAGCACAGGAGAGAAGCAUGCAUCGGAGCGUCUGAUGGGUGAGCAUCGAACGCGGCCUACACAUUGUUCCUGCAUCCGGUGAAGUGUGACGUUAGCAUCCGCGCGAGCGAGCCUCUAUGGCUGUGAGCGUCGGACGCUAGGGAGCGUCUGGUGUGGCCACGUCAGACACAUCUGACGCCCCUACGUGUUUGCAGGGCUCCCUCGAGAUGGCGGACUAGAGGGGGGUGAAUAGUCCUUUCUAAAAUUUAUCGCACCGGCUAACCGAAACAAAUGUAGAAUUAAAACUAUCGGUCUAGCCAAGACUACACCCCUCUAUCUAAGUUCUCUAGCACCUUGUAAACACUAGUACAGACACAUACUGUACAGGCGGCUGAAAACCCAUUUCUACUGGCGUUUUUCAGCACCGCUUGCGCUGGAGGCCAGUAGAAAUGGGACAUUUCUACAGGCGGUAACUAAGAACCGCCUGUGGACUACAGGCGGUUCAGUUAUGUCAACCGCCUGUAGAAAUCUUUUUCAGAAAAUAGGAAAUCGGUUUUUUAAAAUAGAAAAAAAAAGAUUAAAAUAGAAAAAAAAGAUUUUAAUAUAGGGAAGGCCCAUCGGACAUUUCUACAGUCGCGCUUUUUUCGCGUAAAAUCGCGUGCUUCGCGGCUGGUGGGAUUCGAACCUGAGACCUUGCCCUUGCGCGUAGCCUCCUCUACCACUCCACCUAUCACUCACUUGUGUCUAUAUUAAAGUUUAGUUCCUCACAUAUUAUCACAAACCGAGCAUAAAUUGAUUAUUUGAGGCUCUAAAUGGAUUACAAUAGAAAAGUUGUCAACUACAAAGUUUCAUAACUUUUUAAGAUCUACAACUUUUAUAUUGGAAGUUUUUCCAUCCGAGGUCAUUUACAAAAUUUGAAUUCAAAUUUAAGAAAUCCAAACGUAGUUUUCGACGACA